rnacentral:lncRNA from 1 species
AAGGGGGAAAAAAAUAACUCCAAAUGCCCCUGAAGAAAGAUGCUACAUGAGUCAAUAGGAAGAUGACUGAACAAUUUAUUAGGAUUGCGCUGGAAGCUGUUUAUUUAUGGCUGCAAAUGUGUGUGUGCAAGAGAGAGGGAGAAUUGAUCUUUGCCUGGACUUAAAGAUGGAGCCGAAGGCGCUGGAGGGAAUUUGGGUUUGUGCGUCUGGCUCAGACCCUGGGCGCCGAACGGGGCCGCUUGGCAUGGAGCCCGAGGUCUUUCUUUGCCGCACCCCUCACCUCGAGACCUUGCAGGAAUCCGCGGGCCCAGGAGCGGCCUGACGGGCCCAUCUGCCCCGGGCCCGGCUGCCGAGAAAGGCUUCGUGGAGGGGGCCAUCCAGUCCCUGUCUUUAAAAUGAGCGCAAUAAAAGGGGGCAAAUCCUCAAACGCGAACCUGAUCGCUUGUCACAGAAGCAACUUGCCAUGAAAUCCGCUAAUGCGCCGCGACUCGCCCACCGGGAUCAGUAACCCCCGGCAUUGGGGUAACCAGCGCGCGCCCAAUGCAGUCGUAUUCCUCGAAUGCGCGCACCGCCCGCCACACUUGGAGAAUCCAGACCACAGAGGUUUCGGAAACCCCAUUUUCCUGAUUGCAGCCCAGACUCUGGAACCCCGCAAGCCUUCCGGGGAAGCGAGCCCAAUCCAGACCAAGCAGACCUCUGGCGCUGCCGGGUUCGUACAACCACUAAAGCAGCGUCAUCUUGAGAGUUAUUUUGGGGAAAAAGACCUGGGACCUGGGUUUGAGUUAAAGACGUUAGAGGCAAGGGACAGAUGGCCCAGCAUUUCUUUGGAACGAGGCAGAACUGAGAACUACCCAGCUGGACCAGCAUUGCCGAAAACUGGAGAUUAGGAAAUGUGUUCUCCUCGCACACACAGUAGCACACAUCUCCUCCGACGGCGAGCUCACCCCUACGCCAGGGGCCUCUGGCUCCGCCGCUGCGUUUCCCAGACGCCCUUUCGGCCUCCUCCAAGUUUUGCCAGGCAAAUGAAACGAGCAGAACUCGAUGGUAAAUUAUUUUGUUCAGCCUUCCGUCUUUUUAUAAAAAUAAAAGGCAACACUUUGUCAUUUUUAAUCAUAUAAGCAGACAAUAAACCUAAUUUCGAUAUU